CAGUAGCCGCGGUAAUACGUAGGUCCCGAGCGUUGUCCGGAUUUAUUGGGCGUAAAGCGAGCGCAGGCGGUUAGAUAAGUCUGAAGUUAAAGGCUGUGGCUUAACCAUAGUACGCUUUGGAAACUGUUUAACUUGAGUGCAAGAGGGGAGAGUGGAAUUCCAUGUGUAGCGGUGAAAUGCGUAGAUAUAUGGAGGAACACCGGUGGCGAAAGCGGCACUCUGGCUUGUAACUGACGCUGAGGCUCGAAAGCGUGGGGAGCAAACAGGAUUAGAUACCCCGGUAGUCCCUGUCUCUUAUACA
rnacentral:rRNA from 1 species